CACCUGCAGACGACCCAUUUGGGGAUAUUUUUUUGGAAUAGAUGGGAAACAGGUUUAUGCGUUUGCUGUUACCGCUUUACAGUUGGCAUUUUUUGUGUGGCAACUUUUUUGUCCGUGACGGAACAAAUUAAAAUUUGCAGUAUAAUUGAAUACAAAAAGUUAAAACGCUUGGCCAUUCCGUUUUGUUUGGAACUGUGGCAUUGUUGUGCGUGAUUUGUGAUGUUUACAUUGUUAACAUUUGUGUUAGUCAGUGUCAAUAAUUUGGGUGUUGUCCACAUGUAAACGCUACUAUUUAUAAACUAAUAAUUGAAAACGGAUUAUUAAAAUCACAUAUUAGUAAUUAUGGACCACUCUAGACCACCGCCGAUUGGGUUUGAGCUUCAGGGUGCAGAUCAAGGUAUGAAUUAAUUGUGUACAACACACAAACAAUUAUAUAUCUAUAAUUAUAAACAAACAGUAAGUUAGAAAAUAACUUGCAAAGAUUUUCAUAUAUCAUUUUAUCUAAUAAUAGAUGUUAUAGUUGUCUGAAUUUACAAUUUUUAUGGUCUAUGAAUUCACUAGUAAUGCUAGUUGUCAUGGUCAUUCUACUUUCUACUAAAAUUCUAGUCUUUUUUUGGUUAGUUUGUUACUGUUAGAAUAACAAUAUGUUUUAAGUAGGUACCCAGGUCUUGUGACAGCAGUGUAUUAGUUGUGUACCAGUCCAGUGAUAGUUCAAGGGUUCCAGGGAAAAGUUGAUAAAAAAGGGGGGUUCCAACCCCUGACUCUCCACCCCCCUUUUGAAUCUGACACUGGUAAAUUAAAUAUGCAGAUCAAUGUGAUCAGACACUUGUCAUUGGCAGAUCCAGAACUUUUCAUAAAGAGGGGCCCACUGACACUGCAAGAGAGUAUUUGCCCAUAUUGAUAUUUAUACAUUGUACAUGUACCCUGUAUCCUCUAUCCCCUAUUAUAUUAUGUUAAAUUGUUUUAAUUUUGAAAGUCACUUCAAAUAAAGUUUUUAUUAUUCAUGUUAUUAUGAUAUAUAUUAUUAAUUACUAUAAUUAAAUGUAUAUUUUUAUCAAAUUUAUUUUUCUGUAAUUUCAGCACAGAUUGAUGUAGGGUUUAAUCAGCCUCCACCACAAG
rnacentral:lncRNA from 1 species